ACGCCUAAUUUUUCAAAAAAUAAAUUAAAUGAUUUUUUAUAUCCUCCACAUCUAUAAAUAGAUCUAUAAAUACAUCACUCGAUGCGGGUUAUUUAAUUAAGAUCGUAAUAGAUUUGCCAUUAAAAAUAUUAUAAUAGAUUUAGUUGAAGAUUGUUGUAAGCGGUAAUUAUGAACAAGGCACGCUUUGAGUUGUUCUUCAUUUUGUUUAUUCUCCUUGCUUGUCGGAUGGUGGUACAAAUUGAGGGAUCAGACUGUGAUCAUCUCGAUUGUUAUUCCAAAUGUCGUGCUCUUGGAUGGAUUUUUGGAUCGUGCCAGGGAUUUCCCAUUAAAAGUUGCUAUUGCCAAGCGGUGAGAAUUCAAUAGCUCCGCUCAUUAUGAGUGCCCGAAUAGAGAUUCUCUCCAUUUUUUAAAAGAAACAUAGGUUUCAAUUACUAUAAUUUUGAUGUAUAAAUGUUGGUAUGUCAAAAUUAUUGAAAUGCGUGCAUAACUUUUCUUUAUUCA